GACGGAGGAUGCGAGCGUUAUCCGGAAUGAUUGGGCGUAAAGCGUUCGCAGGCGGCUGUUCAAGUCUGCUGUCAAAGACCGGGGCUUAACCGUAGAAAGGCAGUGGAAACUGGACGGCUGGAGUGCAGUAGGGGUAGAGGGAAUUCCCAGUGUAGCGGUGAAAUGCGUAGAGAUUGGGAAGAACACCGGUGGCGAAAGCGCUCUGCUGGACUGCAACUGACACUGAGGUACGAAAGCUAGGGGAGCGAAAGGG
rnacentral:rRNA from 1 species